CAUGCCUUGAGUGUAGGACC
rnacentral:ncRNA from 3 species